AUGGAGGAGGAGCUGAGUGGAGGGAGACAGAGGCUUGCUGGAGGCAGUGGGAUGGCGCCUGCUUCUCUGGAGAUCAGUGGACCUGCUUUGAGUGACUCCCAUCAACACCCAGCAGUGAGAGGUGGGAGGAAACCAGGAGAUGGGGAAGAAGAAGAAGAGGCAGAGAAGGAAAAAGAAGGAAGAAGGAGGAGGAGGUGGAGAAGGAGAAAGAAGAAAGAAGUAAUCUAUGAGGUAGGUCUAAGUGGUGCAAGCUUUCAAAGAAGGCCUAUGAAGAACUACUGCCCAUUCCUGAGGCCAUCCAGUGAGGGCUCUGGAGGAUCCAGCUCAACUGCUUGGAUGGUAAACUCUAUCGUGCACAAAGCAACACAAGGUAGUGUAAAUGAAAAAAUACACUGGGGCUCUGGAGCUUAUCCCUUCCAGUCCUCAGAAGAGCAAGAGAUGGCUAAGCAGGACAGGGCUUUGUUCUUUUAUUCCUGAUUCCAGAAGCAGUAACUGAGAGUGAGCACACAGCUGUGUUGUGCCAGUGAUUUCUAUAGGUUUACUUGGGGAUCACGGCCACUUAACCACUGGACUUCUGAGUUUAUCAUCUAGAAAUGAACUGUACCACUUUCAAGUCACUAAAUAUGUCAUGUGCUUUCAUUUUUCCACUGUUGUCCCUUCAUGCUGAGUGUCCUGCAGGCACUCACCUACCUGGCAAAUUCCUGCUGAUUCUUCAGACAUAUCAAGAGCUAUGUUCUUUAUACACAUUCAUAUCUUAGCAGUGUUCACAUUGUAUUAUGGUGAUCCACUUACUUUUCUGUCACUAGACUAUAAUUCCUUUGAGUGCAGGAUUACGGUUUUUUCUUUUUUCAUUUGGGUAUUGGUGGUUAGCACAUAGUAGAUACUCAAUAAUCACCUAAAGAACUUAACUAAAUAAUGAUAAGGAUCAUCGUUUCUUUUUCAGGUCCGAGAUUGGGUUUUAUUCAGUCACCAAGAACUUGUGAACAGGGCGAUGGCAUUGCAUAACUCCAGGAAUAUAACGUGAAUGGGGCCCCUAAGUCAUGGCCAUGCUUAUGGAACUCCUGUCAUAGGUCAGGCUAAUGGGGGAAUCUAAGUACCAGGUACUUACACUCCAGUUACAGAGACAGAGCUAAUAUGGAAAGAUGCAAUAAAGACAUAGUCAAAGUAGCCCUGCUUGUGGAU
rnacentral:lncRNA from 1 species